GGCAAGAUGGCCGAGUGGUUAAGGCGUCAGCCUCGAAUAUGCGAGUACUACCAAGUGACUUCCAUCUUUAGCUGAUCCCUUCGGGGUCCUGGGUUCAAAUCCCAGUCUUGUCG